rnacentral:lncRNA from 1 species
GCUCCACGCUCCUCCCUGAGCGGCUCAUCUCCGGCCUAGCAGCCAGCUGCUCUGGAUCUUCCCUUGGAGCCAGACGCGGGCCCUGGCUCAGGCUGCCGUGGAAGGCGUGAGACCAGCAUCUUGGCACCGGACAAAGGCCCAGGGAGGCGCAGGAGGGCUCAGGCAGGGCCCUGAGUCAAGUUGCAAUUUCAGUCCUAGCAACAGAUAUAAAAUCUACUCAAAGAAGUGAGGUACAGAGCAAACCGCUGACCCCGCAAAUUGAAGAAACAGAUCCAUGAAUUCAGGGAGUCAUGUCCACCCCAGCAGAGCCCACCCACAACCUCCAGGGGAUCUAGAAUCUGGGUAGGAAAAUGUGACCUGCGGUUGAUUGAUUGAAGGAGUCUCAGUGUGCACAAGUAUUAGGAUUAAAAAUUCUAGGAGGACCCAGUUAUAGAGGCC